rfam:Acromyrmex echinatior unplaced genomic scaffold scaffold21, whole genome shotgun sequence.
CAAACGGCCCUUUUCAGGGCCACCACAAACUACACACAAACAGUCU